ensembl:lncRNA novel transcript
AGCGCGUUGGGGCUGCGUCUCUGCGCACUGGCUGGCUCUGGGCUGGGAAGUUUCAAGUUCCAGGCGGUCUGCAUUCCCUUCUCCCCCUUCACACACUUAACCCUACCUUGUCUGGUCAAGAGAGAUCCAGACAAAAUCAACCUUCUGCGUCAACAGCCGCGUCCGGCUGCCUCAGAGGCACAGAGUCUGUUCCUGGCUUCACCUGGCUUUCGCCAUAAACUGGAACGAGCGGCCAAGACCCUGGAUGCUGCUGCGGCUUUGCAAGGUGAGGACUCGGCGCCCAGCACCUUCCUGUGCAAGAAGUCAGGGAGUUCAAGACGAGAUCAAGGCUGAUCCAGGCCUUGCGCGGCUCCUGCUCACAGGAUCCUGGGGACCGUUUCAAGAAGAGCCUCAGGACACGGAGAAUGCUCAGUCUCUCUCCUGGCUGUCCCCGCCAGGCAAGAGGGCCCGGGGGUGGAGGGAAUCCAGGGGACACGGUCCUCACCCCACUGUCAGCGCCGGCAGACCCCAACACUCAUCCCCCAGCCCCAGGCACACAACCCGCCCUGCCGCCCCUCGCCAGGCCCUGCCGGGUGUCCACCCUCUGAGGUGGCAGGUGGGGGAGGAGACAUGCUGGGGAGGGGCCCAGGCCUGGGCGGCGCGGCCCUUCCUUUCACUCCCCUGCCAGGCAGUGCCUGCGCCCACCCUCACCCCCACCACCCCCCCCGACCCCCCGCGGGCUGGGAGGAAAUGUAAUGAGUGCAGGGCGGUGUCUUUGGUGCUGCUGGGGUGGAGUCAAGGGCCAGAUCCCAUUGUGAAUUUGACAGAAAAGGAAACGGGCUCCGAGCGCAGGUGAGGCUCAGCCAGGGCUCCGCGGCUCUCACCCAAGAGCUGAGCUCCAACCUUCCUGGCCCGGCUCCGUUUCCCGAGCUGUGGAAAAUGCCUGUCCACCCGGCAUGGCUGGGUAGUGCCUGCCUCCCCCACGCCAGCCACGGGCCGGCUCCCCAGUCCUCUGUGGGAGGGUUGCUGGUCUCUGUUAAAAGCCCCCCGGGUGACGUGCAUGCCGCCAGGGCCUGUGCCCCCGGGAGACACUCUGGGGAGGGGCCACCACAAGGAAACCUCAGUCCAAGCUGUCCAGCGGAGGCUGGGCAUGGCUGUGCCAGCACAGGAAGGCAGGUAGGGGUCUCCGGGGCAGGCAGCUCUCCCUCUGGCCCAGCCCCCUGUGUGAAGUGCUCAGCCUGGGUAGGAACGUGCUUCCCACUCAGCCUCCUCCAAGCCGCUGGAGGUCCCGCUGGUUCCCCAAAUGGCUUCUGUCCUGAGCCGUGGGCUCCUGACCACGCACCUACCUUGCACGGUCUGAACAAGAGUCUGUGCCAGGGACCCCGCUCAGGAGGGGCACAGAGGAAGCCAAGGGCCCACACAGGUGAGGGGGUCUCAGGUCUGGGCCUCACCCAGCCCAGGCUCAGCAGCAGCCUCAGAAUUUCCUGGCAUCUGCUUGCCUGUGUUGCAACCCAAGUGGGGUGUGCAUGCCGCCUGAGAGAGAAGACACUCGGGGAGGAUUAUGUAAGCGCUUUCCUCCCCAGCACAGGGCCGUCUUGGGCACAUUGCGACCAGACCAUGUGCAAAAGCACUCGGGAGAGUGGCAGGAGCUGACCCACCAGAGAGGGAUUAACCCCUUCCGGGAUGCUGGCGGCUUGUCCUGGGGAACGUGGGGCUGGUCAGGAUUGCAGGACACGGAGGGGCGGAGUGUGAAUGUGGAGGCACCGGUGCUGCGUGAUUUUCCACAAGUUGUCUAACCUCUCUGUGCCUUCGUUGCCUGACUCGGCUGUUUCCAAUGCAGCUGAUUUUAACAGCACCUGUUUCAUGAGGCCACAGCCAGGAUUCUGGGAGGCAAAGCACAGAAAGCCCUCAAUGCGGUUUGAGGCUCCAGGCAAGGCUCAGCUGACAGUAGCUGAAAACAGCAAUUUCAGCCGCAGAGUUGCCCGUCCUGUGCACCACAGAACGAACAAGGGUUUCCAGCUUUGCUCAGAUUUGUGGGGACCACUGGGUUUGGACUUUAGGAAAAGCUCAUUUGCCUUUGGGCAGAAGUGACCGGAGCUGGGGUCACCUGAGGUCUGGGCAGGAACCUCUCGCUGGCUGACGCAGGACCUGGGGAGGGGCCAUCUGUGUGGGGCAGCUCUGGACUCAGACCCGUGGAUACCUGUGAAACCUGUCAGGCUGAGCCACCGUCCAGCAAGUGAAGAGACCCCAACUGGGCCACUGUGGAGUCACUUGGCCACCACCCCCGGGUUCUCACAGCCCUCAUGUGUGUCCCAACCGCGAGCAGGCGGCCGACAGUGCACCCUGACAAGGCACGCGUGUACCAUCGGGGACACCUGCUACUUUAAAGUGACCGGAUGGUGCCCAGGACCACAAGAACCAGCCUCGUGGCAGGGUGCCCAGCCUCCUUCCCCCUCCACUGUUAACUUUUUUGCCAAGAUUCCAAAAACGAAGCUGCAGCUGAAAAUAAUUUCUUUUUCUUCUAUAGCCCAAAUGACCGAUGGUGUAGAGAUUUUCCCAUCAUAGAACUGCAGUCUCCAUUUCUAGUAGGCCCAGGAGGUGACAUGUCUGAGGUUGGGGUGCCUUGGGGCCAGUGCCCAGAGGAGAACCCACAUUGGCGUCCUAGUAAUGUGAACCCUCAUAAGAGCUUCAGGACAGCAGAGGCAGUGGAGAUGCCGGCAGGCAGGGAGAGCCGGCCCGGCCAGCCCCUCGGGAAUGAGCUUCAGUCCUAUUCUAGCUCAAAAUGAUAAACCUCAUCUCAGGCGGCUGCUUGUGACUCCAAGAGACCACCAGGCCCCGGUGAUAGCCAGCACAGUACCUGGCACAUAAAUCCCACCCACCAGCCUGGUGUGGCUGGGAGACCCGCCCGGGUGCUCUCUGUCUCUCCCUCCCUCUUUCACUGCUCCCUGAAGGCAGCAUCUGAAGAGGCUGAGGCUGUCCUGUCGCUGCCCCGACCUCUGCGGAGAAGCCCGCGGCUGUCCUGUCGCUGCCCCGACCUCUGGGGAGAGGCCCGCAGUUCUGAUCACGGACCUCAGACGGGGAAGCGCACAGGAGGCCUCGGGUGGCCGGGCUGUGCUGCUUCUCCCUGGACGGGCAGAGCUGGCACAUAGGAGGUGCUUCGCAGGUGACUAAGGAGGCAAAGACCCGAAGCCUGGGGGACUGCAGUGUCCGGUGGAUCCCAGCUGUGGCCAUCAGGCCCAUGGGUGGGAGAGCCAAGGGAGGGGCUCAGCUGGGCAAUAGGAUGCGAGUGGGCGGGGGACACUGCUGGGAACUCCCUUCACUGCAUGGCCAAGAAUGUGUGUAAGCAAACAGGGCGGGAGAGCUGUGUGUCGCCUCGGGCAGUCACUCAGCCUCUCCGCCCGUUUUCCUGGUCUGUAAAAUGGGCCGAAACGCCCGCCCUGCUCUGCUCUUUGGGCAGUUUCUAUAAAUGCUUGGCCCAGCCUCCCCGGC